UUUUUUCAGAAUAAAACAUGUCUGCUGUUAAAGUGGACUUUGGACGCGGCAUAAAUCAAAGGCUCGAGUUGAAGUAUUCUGACACACCUACUCCCGAGUCGGAAGAAAUAGAGCAUUUGAUGCCAGUAGCAAAGCGCCCUCAGCUGGAUGAGAGAAUUACAUUUCUGUAACAGGAAAACGAUUCUUGGGGUAUUUGACAAAUCAUUAUUUGUUCAUAUUUUAGUUUAUCGUUAUUGACAUGCAUAAUGUAAAUUUGACUCUUUUUGCUUUUUUCAGAAUAAAACAUGUCUGCUGUUAAAGUGGACUUUGGACGCGGCAUAAAUCAAAGGCUCGAGUUGAAGUAUUCUGACACACCUACUCCCGAGUCGGAAGAAAUAGAGCAUUUGAUGCCAGCAGCAAAGCGCCCUCGGCUGGAUGAGAGAAUUACAUUUCUGUAACAGGAAAACGAUUCUUGGGAAUAAAACAUGUCUGCUGUUAAAGUGGACUUUGGACGCGGCAUAAAUCAAAGGCUCGAGUUGAAGUAUUCUGACACACCUACUCCCGAGUCGGAAGAAAUAGAGCAUUUGAUGCCAGCAGCAAAGCGCCCUCGGCUGGAUGAGAGAAAUACAUUUCUGUAACAGGAAAACGAUUCUUGGGAAUAAAACAUCUCUGCUGUUCAAGUGGACUUUGGACGCGGCAUAAAUCAAAGGCUCGAGUUGAAGUAUUCUGACACACCUACUCCCGAGUCGGAAGAAAUAGAGCAUUUGAUGCCAGCAGCAAAGCGCCCUUGGCUGGAUGACAGAAUUACUUUUUUCGAAUAGGAAGAUAAUUCUUGCCGUGUUUCGCAAAUCAUUAUUAGUUUGUAUUUUAUUUUAUCGUUAUUGAUAUGCAUUAUGUAAAGUUCACUCUUUUAGCA